CAGUCAUUAGGGAAUGACUUCUCCGGUAACAUACUUUUGUAUAAAUAUAACUGUUGCUUUUGUGUUUCACGAGGUAUAGUUCUUUAUGCGACAUCCAUGGAACAUACAUCUUUGUAACUCGAUAUAUCCUCUGACAGCGUAGAAGUUUCUUGAAAUGGUGCUGCGGGAAUUUGGAAAACAGGUCUGGGAGGGACUUCAAGAGAAUCCACACUUCCUUCCAUCAUUUCUACCACUCUGUUCAUCAGCGGGCGAUCUGAUGGGGAAGGUUGAAUACACCACAAACCCACCAAUGUCAUCUUCUUUGCUAUCUCCUCUUCUUCGCUGGUAAUUACAUUCCUGUUAUGCUUUCCACUGUCUCCCUUUUCAAGAUCCUUAUAUAUCCAUUCAGGAAAGUACAUUGAACUUGCAUUUGAUUCAGAAUUUUGACCAGCUCGUUCUUUGUUCCUAGCUCCCAUCAUCUCAAGGACCAACAUUCCAUAGCUAUAAACAUCUGACUUGUGUGAAACUCUACCGUACAUUCUUGAAAAUAAUUCAGGAGCAAUGUACCCUAUUGUGCCCCUUGUGUCCAGCAAUGACAAGAUGCUCUCUUUCUUCUCACAAAGCUUAGCAAGGCCAAAGUCUGAAAGUUUGGGGCAAAGAUUGUCAUCUAAGAGUACAUUAUGUGGUUUUAUGUCGAAAUGUACAAUCCUUGUUUUGCAGCCGUGAUGCAAAUACUCCAGGCCACGAGCAACUCCUAGUGCGAUCCUGUAAAGUGUCAUCCAAUCAAUAUCCACGGGGGUCUUGUUUGAGAUGAAUUUAUCAAGAGAUCCAUUUUCUAGAUAUUCAUAAACAAUUGCUCUCUUAGAGCCUUCAGAACAGAAUCCAAGCAAAUCAACAAUGUUAACAUGAGAAGUUUUGCUCAUGCUCGCAACUUCAUUGAUGAAGUCUUCUCCAUUACUCUUUGAGUCUUUCAAGAUUUUCACUGCAACACUGCGACCGUCACAAAGGGUUCCUCUAUAAACAGUGCCAAAACCGCCUUUUCCAACCACUUGGGUAAAUGACUUUGUAAUUCUCUUUACUUGCGCAUAGCUAUAGUGUUUUAGUGGAAUAAGGGCCUUUAGAUUUUGUUGUCUUGGAUCAUCCGACGUCUUCAUGCGCUGGUUGUAGUAGAACCAGCCUACGUAUGCAAAAACCAACCCCAAAACUGCAGCACCUGUCCCGAUUCCUAGAGAUACAAACACAGAUUACAUGUAGUUUAUGAUAAUCAAAUCAGGUUUUUGAACAAAAAGGGGAAGGGUGAGUACCUAUUUUUACUUUAUAAUUGGGGCCUGGCCAGUUCAUGCAUCAGUGAAAUUGCAGUAAGAAAAUAUCAGUUAGACCUGAAGACAUAACUUUGAAUCCUACUAGAAUUUAAAAAAAAACUGGGGAUAUCAAGAGGUUUUAUAUAAAUGGUUAUCAGAAACUAAAAAAAAAAGCUAUUUGCCUCUAGUUGCAAGUUUGGUGGUGAAAAUAAUAUUUAAUUAAAAUCCUACUAAUUUAGGACUUCAUUCUAAGAAAAAUAUAAACAUGACCCUUAAUAAUUAGGAUUCGGGGAAAAACGAGAUAAUUUUUACAUGUCAUCUGUGUUGUGUAAAAUUGAUUUGUUGAAACUGAUCUCACAUCCCCUAUAUAUUAAUUAGAGAUCUUUUAAAUAGUUACAACAUUAAGUUUGUACUAAGAUCAUCUCCAACCCAACUGCAUAAUUUACUGCAAAAUAGAGCAAAUUAUGCAGUUAUGAACAAACAAAAAAUGCAUUACUCCAUAUUUGGAGUAAAACUUUUUUUGUUUGUUCAUAACUGCAUAAUUUACUCUAUUUUGCAGUAAAUUAUGCAGUUGGGUUAGAGAUGCUCUAAGGGGUUUUUAAGGGGUGUGGGCUCCACAGAAAACUAAAAUCCAUCAUUUCCUCUUUUUCUGCAAAAGGCGAGUUUGAUGGAGUUCUUCUAAUGUUCGUGGACCCCACUAACACGUGGCGGCCCGCGAUUGGUUAGUUUUUUUUAUAAAUCAGACAAAAAAAAAAUUAAAACUUCUAAUGAGUUCUUAGGGUUAAAGAUGCUCUGAAGACCGCAUGCUUGCUGUGUACUGUAGAGCGCUGGGACUAGAGACAAGCAGUUUAGAUGUUUAUAUAAUUUCUUUUGUCAAACAGAUGUUUAAACAUAUAUAUUAGAACUUAGCAUGAUCUAUAAUAAAGUUUAAAUAGGUCAAAUACCUAAAAUUUUAAAUUUCAAGAGGAAUAAACAUUCAAAAGAAGAAUAGUACUAACUAAACAAAAAUUAAUAUGAAGUACCAAAAUAUUCAUUAGACCUGAAAAUUAGAUAUGUAUCAAUUCAAAUUCAUCUUUAGUCAACUAGUUAAUGAAAAUUUAGAAAUGCGUCUCAUGGAUGUCGUUACGGCAUAUUUAUAUGGAUCAUUAGAUACUGAUAUCUAUAUGAGAGUCCUAGAUGGAUUUAAAAUGCCAGAAACAUUAAGUUCCAAACCUAAAGAGUUAUGUGCAAUAAAAUUGCAAAGAUCAUUAUAUGGCUUAAAGCAAUCUGGACGAAUGUGCUAUAAUCGUCUCAGUGAACACUUAACAAAAGAAGGAUACACGAAUGAUCCUAUAUGCCCUUGUGUUUUCACAAAGAAAACAACAUCCGGAUUUGUGAUAAUCGCGGUGUACGUUGAUGAUCUUAACAUUAUCAGAACUCAAGAAGAAAUACAAAAGGCAUCAGAUUAUUUAAAAGGGGAAUUUGAGAUGAAAGAUCUCGGACAGACAAAGUAUUGUCUUGGCUUACAAAUUGAGCAUUCUCAAAAGGGUAUAUUUGUACAUCAGUCUACAUAUACCAAAAGAGUGUUGAAACGCUUUAACAUAGAUAAAGCAACCCCUCUUAGUACCACCCCGAUGGUCGUUAGAUCACUUAAUGUUGAAAAUGAUCCGUUUCGACCAUCCGAGGAAAAUGAAGAAAUACUUGGUCCCGAAGUUCCAUAUUUAAGUGCAAUUGGAGCCCUUAUGUAUCUUGCAAAUUGUACUCGACCUGACAUAUCUUUUGCCAUCAAUCUUUUAGCGAGAUUUAGUUCGUCUCCUACACGAAGAAAUUGGAAUGAAAUUAAACAUGUCUUUCGUUACCUUCAAGGGAAAAUUGAUUUAGGUUUGUUUUAUCCUAAAAAUUUGAAAGGUCAAAUGAUUGGUUUUGCAGAUGCAGGUUAUUUGUCAGCUCGAUCCCAAACAGGAUACGUUUUUACAAUUGGAGGCACCGCCAUAUCUUGGCGUUCUCAGAAGGAGACACUUGUUGCUACUUCUUCAAAUCACGCUGAGAUCAUUGCACUCCAUGAAGCAAGUAGAGAAUGCGUAUGGUUGAGGUCCAUAAAUCGACAUAUCCGAUCAAGCAGUGGGAUUAACGAGGACACAGCCCCAACAAUUUUAUAUGAAGAUAAUGCAGCAUGUGUUGCUCAAACGAAGGAAGGAUAUAUCAAAAGUGAUAGAACGAAACAUAUACAUCCAAAGUUCUUUUCAUACACUCAAGAGCUCGAGAAGAAAAAAGAGAUUGAAGUAAGAUAUAUCCGAUCAUGCGACAACGCGCCGACCUCUUCACAAAAUCAAUUCCUACCUCAGUAUUCAGAAAACAUGUCCAUAACAUUGGAAUGCGUCAUCAAAAGGAUUUAUGACUGCUAAUUCGAGGGGGAGCUUAUGUGGUUGUACUCUUUUUACCUAACUACGGUUUUUCCCAUUGGAUUUUCCUGCAAAGGUUUUUAACGAGGCAACAUAGACGUUAAGCAAAAGACGAUAGUGACACCGGUCCCCAAGGAGGAGUGUUACAAAAGUCAAGUAUCGCAGCAAUACGAACAGGAGGAGAGGCGCGCCAAUUGUUGAUUUUGUAAACAAAUGUGGAGCUCACUGUCACUAUUUACACAGUAACUUUCACUUUUUAACUUCUAUAUAAACGAUCGAUUUCCAUCAUUUGUAACUCGCACUUCAUCCCUCUUCUCCUUUUAUAAUAAACUCUCUCGAUCAUAUAUUUAUCUCAUAUCAGUAUUAUUUUCUUUCUGCGAGUAUAAAAUUUCACCCUUAUUUAAAUUUUUCGAUACUAUAAAAUUAUAAGUUAUUUUAUAACAUGAAUAACAUUUAAAUUUUACACUCACGCACAGUAGGCUUGCUCAUAAACUAAAAGCAUUUACAGUUUAUGGAGAAAAUCAUACCCCACAGUCAGUCAUUAGGGAAUGACUUCUCCGGUAACAUACUUUUGUAUAAAUAUAACUGUUGCUUUUGUGUUUCACGAGGUAUAGUUCUUUAUGCGACAUCCAUGGAACAUACAUCUUUGUAACUCGAUAUAUCCUCUGACAGCGUAGAAGUUUCUUGAAAUGGUGCUGCGGGAAUUUGGAAAACAGGUCUGGGAGGGACUUCAAGAGAAUCCACACUUCCUUCCAUCAUUUCUACCACUCUGUUCAUCAGCGGGCGAUCUGAUGGGGAAGGUUGAAUA
rnacentral:lncRNA from 1 species